rnacentral:rRNA from 1 species
AUUGAACGCUGGCGGCAUGCUUUACACAUGCAAGUCGAACGGCAGCGCGGGGGCAACCCUGGCGGCGAGUGGCGAACGGGUGAGUAAUGGCAUCGGAACGUAUCCUGUAAUGGGGGAUAACGGUAGCGAAAGUUACGCUAAUACCGCAUACGCUCGAGAGAGGAAAGUGGGGGUCGCAAGACCUCACGUUAUAGGAGCGGCCGAUGUCCGAUUAGCUAGUUGGUGGGUAAAGGCCUACCAAGGCGACGAUCGGUAGCUGGUCUGAGAGGAUGAUCAGCCACACUGGGACUGAGACACGGCCCAGACUCCUACGGGAGGCAGCAGUGGGGAAUUUUGGGACAAUGGGCGAAAGCCUGAUCCAGCCAUGCCGCGUGCGGGAAG